GACGAACGCUGGCGGCGUGCCUAAUACAUGCAAGUCGAGCGAAUCGAUGGGAGCUUGCUCCCUGAGAUUAGCGGCGGACGGGUGAGUAACACGUGGGUAACCUGCCUGUAAGACUGGGAUAACUUCGGGAAACCGGAGCUAAUACCGGAUACUUUCUUUUCUCGCAUGAGGGAAGAUGGAAAGAUGGUUCUGCUAUCACUUACAGAUGGACCCGCGGCGCAUUAGCUAGUUGGUGAGGUAACGGCUCACCAAGGCAACGAUGCGUAGCCGACCUGAGAGGGUGAUCGGCCACACUGGGACUGAGCCACGGCCCAGACUCCUACGGGAGGCAGCAGUAGGGAAUCUUCCGCAAUGGACGAAAGUCUGACGGAGUAACGCCGCGUGAGCGAAGAAGGCCUUCGGGUCGUAAAGCUCUGUUGUUAGGGAAGAACAAGUACGAGAGUAACUGCUCGUACCUUGACGGUACCUAACCAGAAAGCCACGGCUAACUACGUGCCAGCCGCCGCAGUAAGAC
rnacentral:rRNA from 1 species